rnacentral:rRNA from 1 species
GGCGAACGGGUGAGUAACGCGUGGUUGACCUGCCCCGAAGAGAGGGAUAGCAGUUCGAAAGGACUGAUAAUACCUCAUGUGGUUGAAGGUUUUAGAAUCUUUCAACUAAACGGAUUUAUUCGCUUUGGGAGGGGACUGCGUCCCAUCAGCUAGUUGGUAGGGUAAUGGCCUACCAAGGCGAUGACGGGUAGGGGACCUGAGAGGGUGGCCCCCCACAAUGGAACUGAAACACGGUCCAUACACCUACGGGUGGCAGCAGUAGGGAAUAUUGGUAAUGUGCGAAAGCGCGAACCAGCAACGCCGCGUGCACGAUGAAGGCCUUCGGGUUGUAAAGUGCUUUUUAGAGGGAUGAGGAAGGACAGUACUUCUAGAAUAAGCCUCGGCUAACUACGUGCCAGCAGCCGCGGUAAAACGUAGGAGGCUAGCGUUAUCCGGAUUUACUGGGCGUAAAGCGCGUGUAGGCGGUUUCGUAAGUUGGAUGUGAAAGCUCCUAGCUUAACUGGGAGAGGUCGUUCAAGACUGCGAGACUUGAGAGUGGUAGAGGAAGGUGGAAUUCCGGGUGUAGUGGUGAAAUGCGUAGAUAUCCGGAGGAACACCAGUGGCGAAAGCGGCCUUCUGGACCAUUUCUGACGCUCAGACGCGAAAGCUAAGGUAGCAAACGGGAUUAGAGACCCCGGUAGUCUUAGCUGUAAACGAUGUGAACUUGGCGUCGGCGGGUUUAAAUCCGUCGGUGCCGAAGCAAACGCGAUAAGUUCACCGCCUGGGGACUACGGCCGCAAGGUUAAAACUCAAAGGAAUUGA